UAAUCUGCUUGGCAUAUUGGAGGCAUAAUGGAUGUAGUGAUAUAACAUGGCUAUUAUUUGCCCUUUGUGAGGAAUGUGCCUUGUUACUUUGAACUAGCCUUUCUGCUUGCACUUAGAAUAAACUCUAGGUAGGUUCAUUUUAUACCGAAUUGCACAUAGGUCUAUUGUCAUACGUAGAGCUCAUUAUAAAAUAUGAAGUUGCUCAGGUUCCACUUGACUUUCUGCCCUUACAGGUGCUGUUCAAGGUCAGGAUUGCACUUUCUGUUUUUCUCGACUGAGACCAUGUGUACCAUAUCCUUUCUCUAAAUGCAGAACUGUCUUACUACUCUUUGAAGGAAAAACCCAGUGGAAGCUCUGAGAAAAACUGAGAAGAUACCAACCAUUACAUUUGUUCCCUAUAUAAGAAAAAAAUCUGUUUUUAGGACACUAGGAUGUAUGCUUUUGGGCAGACAUAAAAGCCAUUACAGAUUUUUUUGUUAACCAUUUAUUUCUAUCUUAUGAAGGGUGUUCUGUGUCUUGCAGCUAAUACAGCUGUGCUGUGGUUUGCAGUGUCAGGGUCAGUGUCCAUAUGGGAUUUUUUGUCUGGAGUUUCCUCAUUUAAAGGCAAAACAUCUUUUGAAAGCCUUAUGGAUACACUCCCAUCUGCUAUUGAGACAAAGAAUUUGUCUGGUUCAGUUAUCUCCAUCAUUAUUCUUGAGUCAGCAAGCUGUUAUGAUUCACUUCUUCCUCUUACGCAUGAAGCUUGAUUUUAUUAGCCUCUGCACCAGUUUAGCUUCCUCUCCAUGUACUGUGUCGCUAGGAAUAAUAAUCACCUCUUUUUUGUCUUUUUAAUCUGUAAGGUGGUAUGGGGAGCAUUUUCUAAAGGGUGUCUCUAUUUCAAAUAUAUGUGACUGUGAAGAGAUAGACCUCCUCCAAGCAUCCAGGUCUGCAUUUCUACCUAAGCGGACUACAAAUAAGUCAUUAAGGUCUAUUCUGCUGAUGAAUUGAUGGAUUGAAAAAAAAUAAUCUUUGCUCUAUUUGCCAACCAAAACUUGAAGGAUACAGCGAGUGCUUUUGAAAUGAAAAUUCACUUGGUCAUACACUGUUAUAAAUGGAAAAUUCUCCUCUCUUACUGAGUACAGUGGAAGACAUGAAUUGAAUCUCUUACAUCCCACAGCCAGCAUCAGGGCAGACAUAGAGUUACUCGUGACACCUCUGUACUGCCAGUAUCAUUUACGAAGAAUCUCAGGGUACAUUUUGGUCCGUAUUUUUUCCAAGCAGUGAGACCAAAAACUGGUAGGUAAAAACCCCGUCUCCUACUGUGCCACAGACUGGUAAGGGUGGUUCACAGAUUGGUAAGAGUGAAAAGCAAUUUCACGUUUGUUUUCUUAGGAACCUCAUCUUCAAUGCUGAGCUAACAAUACUUGCUGCUGUAACACUGUAACAAAUUCUGUAAAUGCAAAGUCCUAUUCAGUUUUCUGAGGGCAUGAAAAAUGCAAUUUAUUGUAAAACUAAUUUGGUUAACCCAUUUAUAUAUACAGAUGGUUAUUUGUUGCUUCUAAAAUUCUGAUGAUUUUUAAAAUGUGCUUUGAACUUGAGAGGGCUUUUUAACACAUUUAUGUAAGAUGAGGGUUUUAUACAUAUCACAUUUCCAUGUUUCUUAUUAAGUUAAAAGUUUUUGAUUAAAUAAGUAAACUUGUUUUGCUUUACAAGAGAUUUGUUAUGAUUUAAAGAAUCACCACCACCUGUAUUGGAUAAAACCAUCAGUUUGUGCACAGUAACACCAGUCUAGUAGGCAAAAAUUGUUGUACUCUGUGGUAAGGCAGGUGGGCUUUUCCCAAAAUGCUGGAUACAGUGCUACACUGUGCAACACUUCAGUGUAAGUGCAGUAUGUUGUGGAAAGAUCACAGGGAUGUGCCAGCAAAGAGCUGUAGGUGGGAACUGCAGGAACCGAGCAGAUGCUUUGCCCCCUUCUUGUGGGAGGCUGUGCCAAGUCCUGUAGCUGCUGGGGUGAGAGUGGGCUGUUGGAAACCUGGAGAAAACACUGAGUCAUGCAGAACCUUUCUGGUGGAAAUAGCUGUCUUGGGCAUGAGGUAAUCUAUCUGGAGAAUUUAAUUUCCAACGCAAAGUCACAUAAGAUCCUAGUUUGAAGCCCAACUGACAGACUUUGUACUCAGUAGAAUGGAGAUUGCAUCUUAGUUUGUACACAUCAAGGCCAGCAGAAACAGCUGCUGUUUGUGAGCUUUCACUCCAAGUUUAAUGCAUUGUACAGAAUUUGUUGUUAACUUUGAUUUUAAGCAGUAGUGAAAAUUUCCAGAAAGAGCUUGAAACUGCUCUUGAAUCAUAGCUGUUAAAAAUUAUGCCUUUUUUUUUUAAAAAAACCCAAGAAGUUGCCAAAAUAUCCCUAAUUUUCUUUUGUCUUGUUUUCUUCUCUGUAUUUUCUAGCAGUUAAUGGCAAGAAAGUGAAAUAUUAGGUUUUUCAAAGGCCUUCAGUGUUGACCGGUUUCUGCUUUCAUGUAAGCCACAUGUGAAACUUCCAGUAGUUUCCCUUUCAACAAGGUUAGACCAAUGCUACUGUCUUAGUAGAAGUUGUCCUAAAAUCAUAGCAGGCCUCUACAGUGAUUUAGAAACUAAUACUGCAUCGCAGCUCCCUCUUUCAAUGUCAUUUUUGUACAAAUUGUGAAGAUUUUGAGGCAGAUUCAAGACAUUUGGUUUACAGAGUGUCUAAAAUCUAAAUUUUCUAAUUACUUCACUUUCCUAUCUCACAUCCCCAUGUAUUUUCUUCUUUUCCUCUCUUUUUUCGUAUUCAGAGUAGAAACCCAUUUUAUAAUCUUUGGUUUUCCAUGUAGUUGAGCUCCAGAGAAUUUCUUUUUCUUUAGAAUACGAAUAAAAAUGUGGAGUAUAAGAAAGUCUUCAAUAACAUUUAAUGAAUGAACUUCUUGCCAGCGAGGGCUCUGAGAUUUUAUAUGCCAUUUAUCUACAAGAGAACUUUACUGGUUGCUAUAUUAAAAAUGACAAGCAACUGUAAAUAAUCAGAAACACGAAGUCUGUUAUUUCAGGAAUGUUGCAGACUUUUCCAUAAGAAAUACAGGAAAGCAGAAGGACUUAAUUUUUAAGGGUAUUCGAGGCUGGUUUGCAAAACAGUUUAUUAAGCACUUAAACUUCACAGUAGUUAAUUGGUUUUGCCCCACAUGGUUUGCACUUCCAUGAGUGAAAUAUUGUGCAGUAACGCUAACUGAUUGACAUUAGACCAUGACUAGUGGCAUGACAUUGCCUUAACUCAUGAUAUAUAUAAUUAGUAUGUGCUAAAGUUUUCGGCCCUACAUUUUAGAAAAUUACUCUUUACUGUACAAAUACAGCCUGACCUGAAAAUGGCAGUCCUUAGUCACAGUUAAUUGGAUGACCUGUCUGGCAUUAAUGAUGUACAUGCUGUUCCUAGGAAACUGUAGAAGACCUUUGCUGACAGUAACUGCAGAAGCGAAUGAUGACAUUCACCAUGUUUGUCAGGCACCAGAAAAGCACGACAUUUUAAAACACUUUUUUCCUCAAUCGUUUAUCAGGUUGUAAUGUACCACACAGUCAAUUUAAGAGGGAUGUAAAAGCUUUCUAAAAGCCAUAAUGAUGUGAUGGCUUAGGUUUCACCGGAGAUGCUAAGAUAUUUAUAAACUUGAUUGCUACAUUUCAUUUCUUAUGUUAGUAUCCACUGGUUCAUUCAUUAUCGCAAACCUCUGUAUCUGAGGUGAAAUUAGGUGUAAGUAUAUAUAAUGUCAUACAUUGUUUGCAAGGCUUACUUUUGCUAUUGCGAAUGAGAGAUUAUUGUUUGUCAAGAUAUGCUAUCAGAAAAUUAAUAAAAUUCAUUAAAGAAGAA